rnacentral:rRNA from 1 species
AGAGUUUGAUCAUGGCUCAGAUUGAACGCUGGCGGCAGGCCUAACACAUGCAAGUCGAACGGUAACAGGAAGAAGCUUGCUUCUUUGCUGACGAGUGGCGGACGGGUGAGUAAUGUCUGGGAAACUGCCUGAUGGAGGGGGAUAACUACUGGAAACGGUAGCUAAUACCGCAUAACGUCGCAAGACCAAAGAGGGGGACCUUCGGGCCUCUUGCCAUCGGAUGUGCCCAGAUGGGAUUAGCUUGUUGGUGGGGUAACGGCUCACCAAGGCGACGAUCCCUAGCUGGUCUGAGAGGAUGACCAGCCACACUGGAACUGAGACACGGUCCAGACUCCUACGGGAGGCAGCAGUGGGGAAUAUUGCACAAUGGGCGCAAGCCUGAUGCAGCCAUGCCGCGUGUAUGAAGAAGGCCUUCGGGUUGUAAAGUACUUUCAGCGGGGAGGAAGGGAGUAAAGUUAAUACCUUUGCUCAUUGACGUUACCCGCAGAAGAAGCACCGGCUAACUCCGUGCCAGCAGCCGCGGUAAUACGGAGGGUGCGAGCGUUAAUCGGAAUUACUGGGCGUAAAGCGCACGCAGGCGGUUUGUUAAGUCAGAUGUGAAAUCCCCGGGCUCAACCUGGGAACUGCAUCUGAUACUGGCAAGCUUGAGUCUCGUAGAGGGGGGUAGAAUUCCAGGUGUAGCGGUGAAAUGCGUAGAGAUCUGGAGGAAUACCGGUGGCGAAGGCGGCCCCCUGGACGAAGACUGACGCUCAGGUGCGAAAGCGUGGGGAGCAAACAGGAUUAGAUACCCUGGUAGUCCACGCCGUAAACGAUGUCGACUUGGAGGUUGUGCCCUUGAGGCGUGGCUUCCGGAGCUAACGCGUUAAGUCGACCGCCUGGGGAGUACGGCCGCAAGGUUAAAACUCAAAUGAAUUGACGGGGGCCCGCACAAGCGGUGGAGCAUGUGGUUUAAUUCGAUGCAACGCGAAGAACCUUACCUGGUCUUGACAUCCACAGAACUUUCCAGAGAUGGAUUGGUGCCUUCGGGAACUGUGAGACAGGUGCUGCAUGGCUGUCGUCAGCUCGUGUUGUGAAAUGUUGGGUUAAGUCCCGCAACGAGCGCAACCCUUAUCCUUUGUUGCCAGCGGUCCGGCCGGGAACUCAAAGGAGACUGCCAGUGAUAAACUGGAGGAAGGUGGGGAUGACGUCAAGUCAUCAUGGCCCUUACGACCAGGGCUACACACGUGCUACAAUGGCGCAUACAAAGAGAAGCGACCUCGCGAGAGCAAGCGGACCUCAUAAAGUGCGUCGUAGUCCGGAUUGGAGUCUGCAACUCGACUCCAUGAAGUCGGAAUCGCUAGUAAUCGUGGAUCAGAAUGCCACGGUGAAUACGUUCCCGGGCCUUGUACACACCGCCCGUCACACCAUGGGAGUGGGUUGCAAAAGAAGUAGGUAGCUUAACCUUCGGGAGGGCGCUUACCACUUUGUGAUUCAUGACUGGGGUGAAGUCGUAACAAGGUAACCGUAGGGGAACCUGCGGUUGGAUCACCU